ACGUCCUCGUUAGUUUCUCUGUUUCCAAAACAAAUUGCUGCCUCAGAUCUGCGCAUAGUGAAAUAGAAUUUAUUCGAGCGUUGCACGAUGUCGUUAACCUCCCAGUCAAUCAUUGAUCUCAGAUAUUUGCAUAUAAAUGCACGUAAACAUCGCCUAAAUGGAGCGUGCGCUGCAGCGCGUGUCACGUAGCAUUCCCUCAUUUGGAUUACGUCAGAUCUACAAAAACAACUUUCACUGCGUUAUGCAUUAUUUAAAAAAAACAAAAACAACAACAACAUAUGGAUCGUUCAUAUGUGCUACCUGUGCACACAAAAUGCUGAUUCAAACAGCUGACGAUCCGACAAGUCAAUCCAAAGUCUUUGGCUCCAAGCUUUGAAUAUAAAGAAACCAGUUCGCAAAACGUGCGUGUUUAAAUUGAACGAACCAAAAGAGUGGACGAAUUUCAUGUGAUUAUCCGCAGAUAAUUGCGGGUGGACGUUUCCUGCCAUACGUUGUCCACAAUGUUUUCCAAUCGUCCUAAACAUUUUGGACGUUAAAGGCUGGCCAUAUCAAGGUGACGAAAGAAACCCUGCCACGAACGUCCAACGUGAUCGUCUAUACAAUUCGUGCUGGCUACAGUAGACUGCACAUUGCCUUAUUACGAGGAGUUUUAAAAGCCACCACCCUUAUCGAUUUGCAUAUUUUUCGUUUUGGUUGAAGCUGAAUGACUUCGUGAAAAUCACAUCCUUUCCCAACACUUGGCUUGGAAGCUCAUGAGUAUAGAUUGUAAAUCUGGGAAAUCUACCGCAGCGACCUAAUAACUGGCCAGCAAGGAGGCCGUUCGCCUUGAUACGGUGCCCGUCAUCCAUGUCGAGGUGUGUUCGCUUUUUUUUUUUUUUUCUGACAAAUCUCAAAACGAUGGAAGAUAACCAUCAACUGACCUUAAUAUUCUCCUUUCCCUUUCUACUUUUUUUCUUUGAGUAAUUUUUGGAAUUUCUCCAUCGUUUGAAUUAAAACUUUUCUCCGGCAAAUUCAAGCCAUUCGAAUUAGAGACAAUCCAUUUGAAUCAAAAGGAUUUUUUUUUUUAUGCAUUGGCCACAACUAUUGCGCAAAAAAUCGUAAAGUGUGAGAUCGCUGGUCUACUAUAGAUUCCUUCGCGGGGUAAAAUCAAUUUUCCUUUCAUUUUUGUCCCUUUUUUUAUUAUCCCGAUUCGCGCAGUAAUCGAAACAGUUGGCAAUUGUAGAGAACCUUUUCUCAUGAUGGUGUGCGCAUAACAAACUGCACGUUGGUGUUGCAUGUUCUUAUCGCAAGUGAUGCAUGUAAAUGCGCAAUAUCGUGGCGCUUGGAAACUAGUUCCAGAAUAUUCCUGAACUUUUUUUUUUGUUGUUGUUUCAAUUCCAAGUUGUUGUUGUUUUGUUUUUUUCCCUAGCUUCUUAUUGUUUUUUUUUCUUCAUUCUACUUCUCUUCUUUUUAUUCUGAUGAGAGAAAGACAUAAAAAAAAAAAAGGGAAGGGCGUGCAGGGCAAUGUGUGGAAAUGGAGGUACAGGAUACAACAACGACAAACAACAACAACUUUCUACAAGAAAGAAAGGGGAUUCACGCAGACAUGCACACACGUACAGCAACAAAAAGAGAGGGAAUAAAAAAAAACAAAAUCGGUACUAACAGCUCUCGAUUUCACUAGCAAAAGGGCGGCUACCCUCCACCGGUUUUCUUACACAUAACAUUUCCCCAAUUCUUUCUAAACUGAGCAUAAACUCAAGUGCGCACAAGCGCUUUUCGUACUUUUAAUUACUCGAUUUCAAGAAACCCUAUUUCGCUUCAUCUUUUGGGAGCCAUUUUUUAAAAGACUCUCUAUUUAAAAAAUAAAAAUUUAAAAAAAUAAAAAAAGAGGAAAAGACCCGGAGCAAUUCAAAGGUCGAAUAAAGGGAAAGGAGGUAACGUGUCUGCUCUACUGCCACUAAUGCUGCUACUGAUGCUGGCGAGAUCGACGUCGCCAAUGCUGACAAUCUGAUUGGUGAACAAAGAAGCGGUUACCAGCGGCGUAGCGAACGGGAUCUUGCGCGUCUUGAGCCUCGAUUCUUCUUGCAAGAUGGGCGACGGGAUGGGCCCGAUGAAAGACGUCGUCCGUGAUACCGGAUAUCUCGUUGUGAUCUUCGGACUGCAUCCAAUAAUUUAUCAAAGGGGGGGGGGGGAUUAAUAACAUUUCAAUCAAAUUUUUGAAAUUCAAAAAGCCCGCGCUCUCCGCUACCUCCUCAAACACAAACAAAUGCGAUACAUCAACAUUUAUAAAAUUUGCUUGGCUUACCGAUAUCCGCGACGAUCAGCCACGUAAUCGACGAUGCGUAACACUCCCUCCGGAUCUACGUAACCGUAACGUCCCGUAACGGUUCCGUCAGGUGAACGCGUUUCUACGCGGUACGAUUGAUGUUCACCACCUCCUUAAAUGGACGAUACGGAAAUGCACGCAAUCGAUUCACACGAGAAGUUCCAAACCAAACAAGGACGUAUAUAUUUUUUUACGACAAAGAUAAUCAUGUGCAUCAGCGGCCAUAACGAUCCAACUGAUGUCUUAUUCAUACGAGCGAUUUAUUUGCCUUGUUGAAUACGCAAAUCGCAAAAUGUCCACCGACGUGUACAUGGUUCUUUUGUUCUGUUUAUUAAUGAAGGAUUUAUCUAUUAUUUAUACGUUACCAGUAUCGUAACCGAAUGUGUAAGCGCCCGUUUGAGGGUCCAUGGUGAACGUCGUGAAAAAGGCGUCGUUGGAGUGAACGGGCAAACGGCCUUCGUAGAAACUGUCGCUGUCACUGUCGCCUCCCGUCUCAAUCCAGUCGAAGGGCGUGAGCUGUCCUGCACGAGCGCCGUCCCACACCAUCUAGCGGACGAUCAACGUAGCUGACGUGAAUAACGCGGGAAAAAUGGGAACCCGUGCGAAAGAUUUGAACACACACACAACACGAAGCCCUUAAGCUCAUUCGAAAGUUUGAAAGAAAAUUGAAUUAUCCGUCUUCCCGCGUGCACUUUCGUUGUUUCAUUAACAUUCUUCUCCUUUAUUUUCUACCUGAUUUAGGAUCUUGUUAAUUGAAGAACCGUCGCAAUGUACGUUAAGUAACUCCCGCCUUUUUUUUUUGCAUCGGCCAAUUUUCUGCCCCCAUUUUUGAUCUGCCAAACACGGCCGGACAGGUUUUGGUUUUCGUUCCGAGCGGCCCGACCUAUCCGUGAUAAUAUGCAAAUGUAACGAUGUUGAUGCUAAGAUAGGCAUCUUUAAAAAAAAAUUAGUUUUCACCAGGACUUUAGGGUCAAGUCAAAGAGAAAAAGAAAAAAGGGCACGGCGUCGGCUGGAACAAGUCCCGAAUGUCAGACGAAAAUAGAACCGUGCGGGAUAUAGACGACCGAAGGCGGAACAAAGUCAACCAAUUUCAGGUGUGAUGAAAGGUGAGAGAAAAAAAAACAAAAAAGGGCAGAAUGGAUUCAGUAUGUCGGGCUUUUAGAAGGGGAGGUGAAAGUGACCCGCCAUAAUUAAAUAUAAGAGAGUGGGAGAGAGGGAGACUUUGUUUAGUUUAGGCUAUAAUAAUUUAGUGACAUGACACGAAAUUGCCGUGUGUCAUUUAAUUGAAUGGCGGUGCAAAGUCCGCUAUACAUUUUUUGUUUUUAAGUUUUCCUGUAGCGAAUAACCAACAGCUGUAACUCAAACUUUUUUUUUUAAAUGCAUUUCACCUGAAAUUGCGGACGCGCGUACGAUCGUCGUGACGUCGUGUCAUUCAAAAAUCUCGUCGUAAAUCAAAACGAAAGCGCGCACCUUUCUUCUUCAACUAUUUAGGUGGGAAAGGUUGUCCAGUUUUUGCUGAAACCCAACCCUAACCAAAGAAAUGAACGAAUAAUGGCGAGCUAACGGUGAAAGUCCCCCAAGUGAAAGAAGAAAAAAAAAAAAAAAUUGUCACCGUGUUUGGAUGUAGCCGUUCAUCAAUUGUCUCUUGUCCCGAACCUUCUUCUUCAAAGCUUUUUCGUUGAGUAUGUGCAAUAUUUUGUUUUGUUUUGGGGGAAUAGACUGUCGCAUGAAUAAAUCUCGAUCAGUAAGCAGACCUUAA